rnacentral:lncRNA from 15 species
GUGCAUUCUGGGAGUUGAACCUGGCAGGAGAAAUUAGCGGCGUGCGCACUAAGCGAAAGGGAUAAUCCCUCUCUGACGGAGAGGAGUGCAGAGCAGUGCAGCAAUGAUCCCUCCUGUGUUCCUGUGAUUUUAGUUUCCAGGUUUAUUUAUUAAGAGGAUAAGCCCUUCCUCUGUAUGCAAACCUCAGAGGCAAGAGGGGUCGCCGUCACUCUGAUGCCAACACCGUGUUGAUUUUAGGGUCUGCUGCUUGCCACGAUGCUGGCGGCAGGCCCAGACAAAGUGUUCACUGUAGCGAAGUGUGGCCUCAGGUGGAGUUAGAUCCCCCAACAAAAUAUAACUUCACAGAAAUUCAGAUUACAGGACAGUCCUGAACAACAACAAUGAAACAGCCUCUUGGAUACUCGAUGAUUGCUAUGGUCAAUCUCUUCUCCGAGCAAGCACUCGCCGAUGAACAUCCCUGAGCUAACGAGCGCCUCAUCGAUUCGUUCAGGACAAGGAGAGAUAAGAGAACAAACAGGCUGAGAGGCAAAGGAGGGGGAUGGUGGGGUAGAGAGACCGAGAGAAUGAAGAAGAGCAGCAAGAACCAGAAAUUCAGACAGUCUUCGCCAUGUCUUAGAACUAAAAGGUCUUCGGUUCAUUCCACCUGCAAAUCGCCUACGAAGGAGAUCCGGAUGAAACACCUUAUUAUAUGUUAAAUGUCAUGGCUGUAUCAUUAACAGGCUGCUCACUUGUAUGACUGAACAAUGAUUCACCCGGCUGGAACUGUUCCUGGUGACACUGAAGUGUGGUGUUCGUGUCACAUUACCACUGUACCUGUGAGGCGCAUUCACGCUGCUGAUAAAUUCCUAAUGACAUCAGCUCUCUUUUCAUCUGCAGGGAAGCCUCCCGCUAACAAUGAAAGCUAA